AUUAAGCCGAAUCAGCCCUCAAAUUAGGGCACACCAAAAUUUCCCUCCGCCCUUCCCUCUUGUCCUAACCCUCUGUUCUUCACCUUCUCCCGAAUCUCCAUUCUCCUCCACCUUUAGGCUUCACACAAACUGACAAUCUGUUGGACCACCACUUUGCUGAGGAUGCAAAUUGCAAUCUAGGACAUGGUCUGGGACUCUGGAAGACUAUCGAAAAGGUGGUUGGUAAAUCGAUGAUAUUGUAAUGUGUGAAAUGGGUUUGGAUUGAGGAAGCCAUGGAUAAGGUCGUAUACCGAAAAUGAUGCAUAUUUACAUCAGCAAAGCGACUAUGAAUUGGUAAAGUUUUUGACCAACGCAAGGCAUCACCAGUUACAUCAGCAAGCUUGCAACUAGGAUCAACAGAAGCAAAGUUGCAGUAGAAGAAGAGAACCAACAUCAUCCACUGCAUACUCACAAAUUCACAAUUAACACAAAUGAAAGCUAAUUGGCGAGGUACUUAUCCCCAAAAUAAGUUAACUCAGCUAAAUAAGAGCAUAAUUGAAGCAAUCUUUAGAUGAAACAAAGAAAGGAGCAAAGUGGGAGCAAAAGGAACCAAGUGGUGGAAAUUCAGCAAGUUCGAUCGAUCUCAGAAAAUAUUCGAUCGAUCGAAAGUUCAUCGAUCUUAGCAUUUCAAGAUGGAUCCAAUCUAUUUUGUCCUUAUCCAAAGAUCCCACAAAGUUCGAUCAAUCCAACUUUCUUCCAAUCGAUUGAAAAGAUUCCAUCUUAUCCAGUUGUACCACCCUACCUACCACACUUGUCUCUUUCCCAAAAAUAUCUUCAAAAUAUCUCAGAUUUGUCUUUAUCCAAAAAGGCUCCGCCACAGAGGAUCGAUCCAGCUUAAGUUCAAUAGAUUUUAGCCAUGUUCGAUCGAUCUCACCACAAGUUCGAUCGAUCGAACUUUCCAAAGCGCAAGAAAAUCUAAUUUCCAGCUCAUUAAAAGUUGUCUCAUAUCCAAUCAUUGGGGGGGAUAUUGGUGUACGAGCCCAGCUCAUUGGGGGUGAUAUUUAACCUACCUAUAUAAGGAAUAUGAUCCAUAUGUUGAGGGGACAUAUACAUACACUUGAGACACAAUUUCCAUAUAUUCUUAGUAAGGAAGAAAAGAAGAGAGGAGGCUAGAGACAUAAGCUUGGAGUUCUUCCAUCAACCAAGAAUAGGAGUAAUCUCUACCAUUGAGUUAGCCCUUGAGGGUUGGAGGACACCAUCCAUGAGUGGCUAGACAUCCUCUUGGGGCUAGAGUUAGUCCUAAAUAUGCUUUCUACAUCUUGAUUUAUGUAUUUUUU